CUGUGUCUGUGCAAGCAAAGAGAACUGCCAGCUGGAUAACAUCCCACUGGGUAAAUGUACAACACUUCAUUGUUCAUUCAUCAUUGAUGGACAUCUAGGCUGUUUCCAAUUUCUGGCUCUUAUGAAUAGAGCAGCAGUGAGCACAGAUGAGCAAGGUCUCUUUGGAAAGAGCUCAAAUGUACUCCUCACUACCACAAAUUAUGAAGUCAAAUUUACUCAGGGGUCAGCACACCCCAAAUGCACAGGUGUCUCAGGCCCACAGAGGACAUGGGGCAGCAAGUAGGACUCAGGGAAUAUGUCCAUAACCUGGAUACAGAACUAACGAUCUCGGGAAGAGCUGUGAGCAAAGAAACAUUAUCGAAGUUCAACAUGGUGUCCAAAACAAAAUCCCACAAUGUCUCCUACCUGAAUGAGAGCUUCUACUGAACUCCCCUCAAGAGCAUCUUGAAUCCCAAAAAGACUCCUACACAGAAGCCUUGACUAUCUGAUGUCCCCUUCUUGACAGCGCACUGGCCAGGGCUUCAUAGACACACAUCUUCUCUGGCUACAUGGCUGACGGGUAGGUCUGCGGCUCUGCUCUUCACUGCAUCUACUUGAUUUGGACACCACAACUCCAUCCUGUUUGCAUGAUCCAGUAUUGCACGAAUCCUGAUUUGGAAUUCUUCCCUUUUCUGACUUAGUGAAGAGGAGCCCAGUUUAGUGAUUAUUGAAAAAAAACAGACAUUUUUCUAGUGUUCACAAGGCAAGCACUGGUGCAAACCCACUGUUCAC
rnacentral:lncRNA from 1 species